UUAAUUUAAGGAAUUAAUGGUACUAAUGGGACAUGUUUUUUAAAAUGCUUGAUAACCGCAAGCAUGUACUCUUCGUUUUUGUAUAUUACCCUUUAUACGCUAAAACCCUCUUUUCUCUCUCCUUCUGUGUUUCAACAAUCUCCAUCGUUCUCGUCAGCAUCGUUCUCGUCACCAUCGUUUCAGUAUUCUCCAUUGUUUGUUAUCGAAGUUCAUAGCC
rnacentral:lncRNA from 1 species